AAGAAGAUCUUAAAAAAAAGACAAUGUCAGUGAUAAAAAGUGGGUGAUGAAUACAUAGGGAAGAAGCCAGUUGAGAUUUUUUAAAAAAUCUUGAAACACAAACUUGGACAUUGGAGCCUUAGCUUUCAGAAUCCUCCCUGAAAGAAGAAAAAUACAUGUUUUUCUCCCCCACUAUAUUGUCACUUCCUCGAGGAAGGACAAGGGCUCAUGUAUUCUGUUUAUCUGCAUGCCUGGAGCCUAACCCAAACCUACGUGUGAACUAAUGCAAGCAGCUAAUGCCAAGCCUAACAUGCUCCAUAUGUGUUAGAAGUUUUAAGGUGAAGAAAAGAACUGGCCUUUUUCUUCCUUUAGCCCUGUGAGACAGACAUUCUGCACUUAAAUUAUCAGCCACAGGGCAUCCGUGGCUGGGAAUCCAAACAGAUGCUAAUGAAUUUGGAACAACAUUUAAGUGGCUGAACAAAAAUGGAUCCUAAACACCCCCAAAUCAAGUGCAACAAACAAGAAAUAGGCUGACACAUUUCUAUCAGGAAGGCAACCAGAAUGUCAAACUCUUGAAUGAU
rnacentral:lncRNA from 1 species